rnacentral:rRNA from 1 species
UACGUAGGGGGCAAGCGUUGUCCGGAUUUAUUGGGCGUAAAGAGCGUGUAGGCGGCCAUGUAGGUCCGUUGUGAAAACUCGAGGCUCAACCUCGAGACGCCGAUGGAAACCACGUGGCUAGAGUCCGGAAGAGGAGAGUGGAAUUCCUGGUGUAGCGGUGAAAUGCGCAGAUAUCAGGAGGAACACCAAUGGCGAAGGCAGAUCUCUGGGCCGUAACUGACGCUGAGGAGCGAAAGCAUGGGGAGCGAACAGG